rnacentral:rRNA from 1 species
CAGUGGCGUAUGCUAAUGUUGUUGCAGUUAAAAAGCUCGUAGUUGGAGUUGAACCAAUCCCUUUUGGGAGCGGUUUUUUUUCUGAUCCGUCAAAAGGUCAGAUCUUUCACCUUGAAAAAAUUAGAGUGUUCAAAGCAGGUUUAUUGCCUUCUGAAUAUAUUAGCAUGGGAUGAUAAGAUACGACUCACGCUAUCUUGUUUGGUAUGAAGAGUGAGUAAUGAUUGAUAGGGACGGUUGGGGGUGCCAGUACUGACUGGAUAGCGGUGAAAUGCGGACCCGUCAUUGACUAACUAAUGCGAAAGCAUCCACCAAGGACGUCUUCUUUAA